AUGGAGUUUGGGUUGAUCGCAUCCCUGCUUGGAUUCAAUAUGCCUGCCACCGUGGACCCAGCAAGGUUCGCAGCACCAUAUGAAUUAUGAUGGUGUCUACUAGGAUCCACUAUCAUCAGAAUUCAGAAAGGUUUAUCAUCGAGGAGAUGACGGUGAGGAGGCAGACAUGAACAUUAGAGCAAGUUGUGGUUGGGCAGGAGAACUUUGAAGAACGAACUGGGUUCCGUGAAUCAUGAGUGACAAUGCUGUUGGUCAAGAGCACAAGAGAGUGUGACCAAGGGUCGUCGGAAGACUGACAUUUUUUGCUCUCUGUACAUAUAAUAUGUGGCCUGUGUCUGUGCCUGUGCCUGUGAAUAAAUAUUAAUAAUCGCAUUUCUUUGUAUCAGUGUUAAACGCUCCGUAGAAG
rnacentral:sRNA from 1 species